UACGUAGGGUGCGAGCGUUGUCCGGAUUUAUUGGGCGUAAAGGGCGCGUAGGCGGAUCUUUAAGUCGGGGGUGGAAAGCCCAGGGCUCAACCCCUGGAAUUGGCCUUCGAUACUGAAGAUCUCGAGACCGGAAGAGGUAAGUGGAACUGCGAGUGUAGAGGUGAAAUUCGUAGAUAUUCGCAAGAACACCAGUGGCGAAGGCGGCUU
rnacentral:rRNA from 1 species